rnacentral:rRNA from 1 species
AUUGAACGCUGGCGGCAUGCUUUACACAUGCAAGUCGAACGGUAACAGGCCUUCGGGUGCUGACGAGUGGCGAACGGGUGCGUAAUGCAUCGGAACGUGCCCAGAGGUGGGGGAUAACGCAGCGCAAGCUGUGCUAAUACCGCAUGUGAUCUGAGGAUGAAAGCGGGGGACCUGGCAGCAAUGUUUGGCCUCGCGCCUUUGGAGCGGCCGAUGUCAGAUUAGGUAGUUGGUGGGGUAAAGGCCUACCAAGCCGACGAUGUGUAGCUGGUCUGAGAGGACGACCAGCCACACUGGGACUGAGACACGGCCCAGACUCCUACGGGAGGCAGCAGUGGGGAAUUUUGGACAAUGGGCGCAAGCCUGAUCCAGCAAUGCCGCGUGAGGGAAGAAGGCCUUCGGGUUGUAAAACGCUUUUGUACGGAACGAAAAGGCUCUGGCUAAUACCUGGGGCUGAUGACGGUACCGAAAGAAUAAGCACCGGCUAACUACGUG